GCGUUUAGCUCAGCUGGUUCAGAGCAUCUGCCUUACAAGCAGAGGGUCGGCGGUUCGAAUCCGUCAAC
rnacentral:tRNA from 1 species